GGAAAUUAUAGGCUUGAUCCGUUCCGUAUAGUCGAUGAAGUGUAAAUCCAUAGCCUGUAUAUGGUCAGGUUCACCGCCGGUUCACAAAGUCACCGCCGUCGCCGCACUAAACAAUCCUCCGACUCUCUACACCGGCGGUUCCGAUGGCUCCAUCAUCUGGUGGAAUAUCUCCUCAUCGGAGAUCACACCUGUUGCCAUGCUUUGUGGUCAUGUUGCUCCAAUAGCG
rnacentral:misc_RNA from 1 species